AUUGAACGCUGGCGGCAUGCCUUACACAUGCAAGCCGAACGGCAGCACGGGUGCUUGCACCUGGUGGCGAGUGGCGAACGGGUGAGUAAUACAUCGGAACGUACCUUAUCGUGGGGGAUAACGCAGCGAAAGCUGUGCUAAUACCGCAUACGCCCUGAGGGGGAAAGCGGGGGAUCGAAAGACCUCGCGCGAUUAGAGCGGCCGAUGCCUGAUUAGCUUGUUGGUGGGGUAAAAGCCCACCAAGGCGACGAUCAGUAGCUGGUCUGAGAGGACGAUCAGCCACACUGGGACUGAGACACGGCCCAGACUCCUACGGGAGGCAGCAGUGGGGAAUUUUGGACAAUGGGGGCAACCCUGAUCCAGCAAUGCCGCGUGAGUGAAGAAGGCCUUCGGGUUGUAAAGCUCUUUUGUCAGGGAAGAAACAGCAGCUCUAACACAGUCUGCGAAUGACGGUACCUGAAGAAUAAGCACCGGCUAACUACGUG
rnacentral:rRNA from 1 species